AUUUGAGCACUUGUUUAAUGAGCCAUGUCCAAAGUUAGAAAUCACGCCUUAUGGCACCUAGUCAGUUGUGCAGAUGGUUAGUUUGCUUCUAAUGCUUCUAAUAUUAGUACACGAGUGUUUAUAAUUUCAAGAAGAUGUGCAUUUAAAUUGGGUGUAAUUUAAUUCUGAAAAGUAAAUAGUGUAACCAACAUCUUUCAAAUACUCCAAUUUCAGGUAUAAUCCUAAAGCAAGAGGACAUUUCUACAUUGAUUUUUAUCAUAAAACUAAAAAUCUAACAAAUGUUGCCAAAAAUUGGUUUCGUUGGGAAUAGGAUGCUGAAAAGUAGUUUUUUCCUAAAUUCACCCAACAUUUUGAGAAUUGCCUAAAUAUGUUUAAACAUUUAAAUUAUACACUGUAUCAGUUUAAAAUAACCAUUUUUUACUUUAGACAACAGGAUAUUUUGUUUAUGACAAUAGGUGGAGAGAUUAUUACAAAUAACAGUUAUAACAACAUAUAGGUGACACUGAAACUGGGUCUUUAAACAUAAUAUAUUUGCUGGACAAGACACAGAGAGGUCGAUGCUCUCCCUGGUGACUAGGAAGAAAUUCAAAGUAGAAGGAGUCUAGUCUAUCUGGUAGGAAGUAGCAAGAGCUGAAAUGGGGUAAGCCAGGGCUAGAAUGUAACAGAGGUCACUUGGACUUUUUCCUCUAGAGAGUAGGAAC
rnacentral:lncRNA from 1 species